GGCGGACGUAGCCAAGUGGAUUAAGGCAGUGG
rnacentral:tRNA from 1 species